rnacentral:pre_miRNA from 9 species
UCUCGAUAGCGUAAAAGUUAACUCCAAUUUGUAUGGAUUUGGAACGUUUACCUACGUUUGCCGCUAGGGACGCUGUUCCAACUGCAUACAAAGAGUUAACUUUUACGCUAUCGA